CUGGCUAACAUCCAGGUGCUCUGACGGUAUCUCCUUAGCAAGCAUCGGCUAACUCUGUGCCAGCAGCCGCGGUAAGACAGAGGAUGCAAACGUUGCUCGGAAUUACUGGGCGUAAAGCGCGCGCAGGCGGUCCCGUAAGUCGGGUGUGAAAGCCCCGGGCUCAACCCGGGAAGUGCACUCGAUACUGCGAGACUGGAGUACUGGAGAGGAGAGCGGAAUUCUCGGUGUAGAGGUGAAAUUCGUAGAUAUCGGGAGGAACACCAGCGGCGAAGGCGGCUCUCUGGACAGAUACUGACGCUGAGGCGCGAAAGCGUGGGAAGCAAACAGGAUUAGAUACCCUGGUAGUCCACGCUGUAAACGAUGGCAACUGGGUGUCUCGGGUAUUGACCCCCGAUGCGCCGAAGUCAACACGUUAAGUUGCCCGCCUGGGAAGUACGGCCGCAAGGCUAAAACUCAAAGGAAUUGACGGGGG
rnacentral:rRNA from 1 species